CCUACGGGUGGCAGCAGUGAGGAAUAUUGGUCAAUGGGCGCGAGCCUGAACCAGCCAAGUCGCGUGAGGGAAGACGGUCCUAUGGAUUGUAAACCUCUUUUGUCGGGGAGCAAAAGACGCCACGCGUGGCGUUCCGAGAGUACCCGAAGAAAAAGCAUCGGCUAACUCCGUGCCAGCAGCCGCGGUAAUACGGAGGAUGCGAGCGUUAUCCGGAGUUAUUGGGGUGAAAGGGUGCGCAGGCGGAAGAUCAAGUCAGCGGUAAAAUUGAGAGGCUCAACCUCUUCGAGCCGUUGAAACUGGUGUGAGUGAGUGAGUGAGAAGUAGGGGGGAGGCGGGGUGUAGGGGUGAAAUGCAGAGAGAGCGGGGAG
rnacentral:rRNA from 1 species